rnacentral:rRNA from 1 species
GACGUAGGGCGCGAGCGUGUCCGGAUUUAUUGGGCGUAAAGAGCUCGUAGGCGGUUUGUCGCGUCUGCUGUGAAAACCCGAGGCUCAACCUCGGGUCUGCAGUCGAUACGAGCAAACUAGAGUGUUGCAGGGGAGACUGGAAUUCCUGGUGUAGCGGUGAAAUGCGCAGAUAUCAGGAGGAACACCGGUGGCGAAGGCGGGUCUCUGGGCCGAUACUGACGCUGAGGAGCGAAAGCGUGGGGAGCGAACAGG